AGUUAAAGAGUAGAUCGGAGAUACAUACAUUGAAUGAUCCAUAGAGAGAGAGAGAGAGAGAGAAUCCAACGCCAUUUCUUUUUGUUUCCAAAAACACAGAAAACAGAAAACAGAGAAAUGGCUUCGAAUCCUUCGCUCCGACCCGAGAUUGGACCCGAUGGCCUCGCUCGUGAAGCUCCCGUCUUUGCCUACACCGAAAAGAUAAUUGAGGAAGAGCAGAUUCAGUUAAAGAAAUACAUUGAAGAAAAUUAUACCAAAAUUCGUGAUGUUGAAAGAGAAUUUGCAAAUCUCUCGAUGGAGCUGAAACUCACCGCCGGGCCAAAAAAAGCAGCACUUGAACAUUUGAGAAAGAAAAUAGAAAUGUCAACGGAGAAAAUUCGUCUUGCGAAGCUGAAGGAAGAACAAGCACGAAAGGUGUGGGAAGCAGCUUCACAGGCUGUGAAGGAUGAGGAAGCAAUCAAGCAGAAGCUAUGUGAUGACUUGAGCCAAUUGGUUGAAGAAAGCAGUAGCACACAGUUUUCUAGACUGGAGGAAUUAAAAAGACGACUAGAAGCCUUGAACCCGAGUAGAUCAUCCACCUCUGUCCCUUUUGAUGGGAAAUCAGUGGGACCACCCCAAAAUACCACAGUUACAAAUGAUUCAGUUCCUCAGUCAACAGAACCACUUGCUGGAGUUACUGCAAAUGUCCCUAAUCAAGGAAAUGGUGGAAAUGUUACAGAGAUGAAUGGGCAAAAUCAACAACCUUCUACUGAGGGAGAAGGACGAGGGAGGAAGAAAAGUCAGUUCCAAGGAAGAGGAAAGGGAAUCGGGGCUGUGCCUAAGGGUAGAGGAUCUCCCGCACCUGGCUGGACUGGGGCUGGGUUUGAUGUGGAUGGUAGAACAUAGGAGCACCUCUCCAGAUUCUUUAUUAGAGCCAUAGUACAAGACUCAUUGCUUCUGAUCUCACUGGUUACUCCUUGUUUUUGAGGACUAAGCUGGGUCUAUCAAGGUCAUGUUGUUAUCUCUUCCAAGUGUUGAAAAGAUGGAGAAAAAUGGGGAAAGAAUUUUGUAGAAGUAGGAAUCUUGACGCGGCUUUGGGGUAAUUGUCCUAAUUUCCCAAAUUAUAAUUAGCUUCCUUUGCUAAUUUCACGCGGUUUGAGUGAUUUAUUUAUUUAUUAUUCUUUCACACUUCAAUUUCGGCCGUGCCUCAAAUGCAACUAAAUAUUUACAUUUUUAAGAACAUUUUUGAGAUUAGAGCAUUUCGAGAAAUACUUACCGAGUGAAAGCCCUUCUUAGGCGU